rnacentral:lncRNA from 1 species
AAAAAUGCUAAAAAGGAUUUUAUUUGAUUUAAUUUUUUUUUUAUUGGUUUUUUUCAUUUAUUGUUUUGUCAUUAUUACUUUUUGUUAUUAUUUUAUAAAUUAUAAGUUUUCUUUUUCAUGAUAUAUGAAUUCUGAUAUUCACUGUGAUUAUAUUUAUAUUUGUUUUCAUCUUAGAACACCAUUUUUAAUAUUCGGAUGUUUUUAAUGCUUUAAAUAUUUGUGGGUUGAAUUCUUAACAAUAUUUUAGAAACGUUAUUUUUAAAUUUCUAAAGUUUCAACAGUGAUUAAAUUUAUUUAACUUCAUACAUUACUAAUUUACAAUAAUAUUUAGAUUGAGAAGGUUUUUGUUUUGGUGUUGCAUAACUUAGUAUUAGCUGUUACUAUGUAACCACAUCCUGUUCAACUAGUGUGGUUGCCUAAAUCAAACUAUAUCUACACUCAAUUUUAUUCAACACAAACUUUAUAUCUAUACUCAAUUUUAGGUUGGUGGGGUUAUCAUCUAUUUACAUGAGAAACGUUUUCUCACAUGCAUCUUGUAAUAUGGAAAAGCAGUUUGCUAAUUGGUUGUGUAUUUUUCUGUCAUACACCUUCAGUCGUUCUGCAUAAAAAAUCGUACACAUGACUAGGAAGGAACCUUGACGUGGUUCAUGUGCUUUAAACAAAUACCUUCCAGACAGAUACAUUCUCACCUGUUGUACUGUGCGGGAUAAAUGUUGACAUGGAGUACAUUGUAGGUAUCAAGAAUAGCUAGUAUAGGAAUCAAUUGAUGCACAUCUAUAUAGAGUCAUUUAUGCAAGCGGAUCAUCUGAGUUAUAUUGAAAAUAUAUAAGGGUCGUCCGUAAAUUACAUCACGCAAUUUUUGACAUUUUUUUUUUAGUUGCUUUUAUUGUUGCUGCACACUUUUGUGGACCCAUUAAAUCGGGGUGGCCAGACUUUUUAGGAUACGGGCAAAAAAAAGUUAAAAAACAAUUUUUCGGCAAAUAAUAUAUAUUUUUACGAAAAUAUAUGGGACAAAUAACUAUUAUAAUCAUUUGUAUCAAAGCAAUAUAAUUAUUAAGAGUGGUGAACUUGACCGUCUGAAACUAGUUUUAUGAUGUCUGGAAUGAUUUUUUUAGGUAGAUAGAAGUAUCACAUUACUAAAAUUGUUGUCCCCUAAAUAUUCAAAUCGUUUAACAGGGAUUUAAAAGUAUCUGUUGGCAUUUUUUUGCCCUGCAGGCAGUGGUUUGGCCACCACUGAACUUAAUAAAGUUUUGCACUUGGACCAUUUAAGGUCAAAGCGCAGAACGUACACUGCACUUAGACUGUUACAACUGCAACAGGCUGUAACUACUCUGUUAACGGAGUGUACACAUUGACUAAGUAAGAUUUAGGAGCAGUCGAUUUUACAAGCAACAUGUAGAUACAUCAACUGAUGGUUAUGGUUUGGUCAGAUACUGUUUUAGUUAAAAGAUAGUCUUUUCUAAAUUUAAAACUUAAAAAAAAAAUGUUGCAUCAAAAUCGAAGACAAAACUGAAGAAUACGACUAAAGAUUAGUUUUAAAUUUUUAUCAAUCUAAAUUUUGUCAAAAAUUUUUUUAAAUAGAACUUUUAAUGUUUUUUGUUAAUUGUGGAAAGUUAUGGAACAUUCUAUGACGACUAUGUGAUUUUAGUUUAAUAAAUUUUUUAUUAGUAAUUUUUGUUAUUAGUAACUAUUUUGUUAUGUUUAAGCGGUUAUUAAUGGGAUUGUUGUAUUUUUGUUAAAAAUACCGUUAAAUACUUUGUUAAAAAUUUGUUAAAUACUGUCAAAAAUACCGUUAAAUUUUUUUUUUUAAAAAAAAAACUUAAGACCACAUCUACCUGUGCGAUCAUAAUCACACCUUAACACUGAAUAUGCCCAAAUUUGAUUUUUCUAAUCUCCAUAUAUAUCUAAAAUAUAUUUAGAUAUACAGUAUGUACCAUCUAAUUUGAAAAGCCAUCGGGAGAUUCUUUGACCACCCCUAAAAUGACCAUUUGAGCUGUCAUGGCCACUUCUAAAAACCGAAUAUGCCCAGACAUGAAUUCCCUGACCGCAAUUACCUUUAUCAUGACAUUUAACAUAUCUCAUCUAAUUGAAAAACUAUCGAUACAUUCCUUGGCUAACCUUGACGAAAAAUAACCACUCCCAGACAGCAAGUAAAUACUGGUCCGAUAAUUGCUAGCCAAUGCCAGCGAUUUCUUUAAAGGUAUAAUAAAGUUCUGUUCUUGUAUUACCAGUUCUGGGAAGCCGUAAUAGGGCCAUUGCCGAGCCUUUAUAAAAUUGCCUGAGCUGGGUAGCCGCAAAAAAACCAUUAAUGGUCCAACAAAGAUUUGGCAAAACAGAACAACAGACAUUGGGCCGAUACUGGCUCAUCAGUGGUAAAGUCAAAUUAAUAAUGAUAUAAACAAGAGCUUUUGCGUUUACUGCGCAGAAUUUUGCACCCAUCUUGAAAGUCGUUUUUUUUCAUUUUUUAUACAAAUAUAUAUUAAAGCUGUUUUUCGCUUCUCUUAAUCACCGUGGUUGUUGUUAGCGUCGUCCCGGAGAGGUCUUUCAUUGGGGGAGGGGGGUCGUAUGUGUUUUUUUGCCAGAGACACACACAUAAAAAAAGGUUCUCGAUAUUUGACAUUUGCCAACUAUACUUCAAAACUUGCCAACUGAAAUGCUAAAUGCACAAAUGCGCUAAACUCAAAUAACAGUCUGGAUGGGGAAGGGGAAUACUUCUUUAACACCCCCUUCCUUCUCCUUCCCCGUUCGGGACAGCUCUGGUCUACCACUCUAACAGAAAUGAAAUUUAAUUAUUAUUUUUGCAUUUAUUUAUUAAUAGCUAUUUGUAAAACUGUUGUCUUAUUAAGUAAACUUAUUUUAAAUAGUCUAAAUUUAGACAGUAAUUGAGGAGUUAACUUGCAAAACCAGAUAAUUCACUUUUAAAAAAAAAAAAAAGAUUUAGCAAUGUUUUUUUGUAGUUUUAGUAUUCCUACAUUUCAACAAAUAAAAAUUAAAUUUAAAAGUCACUAUUUUAAUUACAAUUUACCUUUCUUAAAUUAUAUAGUCCGUGCAAAACCAGUUUUAAAAAAAGUUAUUAUCGAUGCAAAACAAGACAAAAAUUUUAUCUAAUCAACAUUCUGUUUUAAAAACGUUUUAGAAAACUGGAAGAAAAAAAUCUCAUACAAAAAAUCUCACUAAAAUUAAAAAAGCCAUAUUUAAACAGUUACAAUUGAGUUUUAACUUCAUCAAUCCUUUAAAAGUAUCGUAACACUUUUGGCCACAAAGGCUACUUUGGCCAUUUUUACUACUGAACGUAGAUGUAUGAAGUAUGAUGUACGAAGUAUGAUGAGGUAUGAAGAGGUAAGAUGAUGACUUAAUAACUGACUGAUGUAAUAACAUCAGUCAGUUAUUGACUGAUGUUAUUACAUCAUGUUAUAACAUAUUGUUUAUUAUUUUUUUAUUAUUAAAAUAUUAUUAAAUAAAUUUUAUUAUUCAAAUUAAAUAAAUUUUGUUAUUCAAAUAUUACUGCAAAUAUAUUCAAGAUCAAUAUUUGGUGAUUCCUCCUUUGCCUCUAUAAUUGCAGGAACCCUUUUUGGCAUACUUUUAAUGCAUUUUUGAGCCAUUUCCUUCAAUUCUUUAUUAUAGUUCCAAUGUUGAAUAAUUCUUUCUAUUAAAUACACUUUAUUUGUAAUAAUUUUUUCAGAUAUUUGCUUCUUUAGGAGCGCCCAAACAUUUUCUAUAGGAUUUAGGUCAGAAGAGUUUCCUGGCCAAUCAAGUAAUGGAAUAUUUUGUUCUGAUAGAUAUUUUUUAACUGAUUUAGCUGUGCGACAUGGUCAUGCCUUGUCCUGCAUGAAGGCUUUUUUUUCACCUGGACUAAACUAUUCUGCCAAUUGUGACAGCAAUCUUUGUUCCAGCAUUAUUAUAUUGUAACUGUAACAUUUUUCAUUCUGCAAUAUAGAACCUUCCUAUUUCUUUUACACAUUUCAUUGAUCAGAUCAUCACAGAGGUGGGGUGUUUAACAGUUUGCAUGAUGCAGUCCAAUAAGUGUUUUUUCCCUUUUUUUCUUUUUAAAACUUAAAAGUACUCUCGCCGCUAAAGCAUACCUUAAAAUAUUAUACAAGGAUUGUUAAGUGAAUAUUGAAUGAAUAUUUAAAGUUUGGUGUAAGAAAGUGGAUAUUUUAAAUUCAUCUAAAUUAAUUUUAUUAAUUACCAAUCAUAUGUUAAAUUCCUAUACUUUUUUGUCCACUCAAGCUUUUUUUGUACAAUUUUUGGUGUCAGUUUAGGCUUCUUAGCUGGACGUCGUGAAAUGUAACCAAGAUUGUGUAGGCAAUGUUGGACCGUUCUCUUCAACAUUUUGACUCCAGAUUGGCCCAGCUUAUUAGUUAUUUCGUUGUUGGUGGCCCGUCUAUUUUCUAGAACAAUCUUGGUAAGUAUUCAUUUCCUGCAUGGUGUUAGGAUUCUCUUCUUUCCACAUUUACCAACCCUCUUUGGCAUCAAGUUCUCCAUAUUAGCAUUUUUGUGUGUAUAUUUUGUACAGAUACCCGCAAAAUACCAUAUUUUCUGGCUAUUUUUCAUUGAGAAUAAUCAGUAUUUAUUAAAAGUGCCCUGAUUUCAGCAAUUUUUUGUGACAAGUUUUUUUUUUCCCUCAUAACUAAAAUAAGAUAUCACAUAUCAGUACUACAGUUAAGAAUUUGCUUUGGUACUCAUAACUUUAAAAAUAUCAAACUAAAUACAACUAUUUUUAAUUAAAAAUAAAAAGAAAUAUUCAAGAAAUUUUUACUGAUUUAAAUAAGUAAUAUGACGAUAACCUAAUAAAAGAAUUCAAAACUCUGGUAAUAAAACUUAACAAGUGUACAGCAAAAAGAUUAUAAUUAAGAUGACAUCAUACAAAAUGGCUGUCAAAAGUGACAGUGUUGCCAGUAGCAAAAAAAAAAGCAUUGAUUUUAUAAGUUAAAACUUUAUUUUAAACAGAGGAUUAACUUUCGAUAAUGAAUUUUUACUCUUCAUAUAAAAAAAAAUGAGAUUAAAUUUCAAAAUGAUCAAAACUCAUAGGUGG